rnacentral:lncRNA from 1 species
AUCUAAGAAGAUGACCCUAGCCUGUUACCUCCUGACAACUAAGACGAUGUGGUAGCCCAGAAGAUUGGAAGGAUAUUUAAAUGAACUUCCAACCAGCAGAGCUCAAGAAUGUGAAAGAAGAGACAAAGUAUCAAGCAGGAGGAGUCUUUUCCGAUGGCCUCCCCAGCCACAGACCCAUAUCAAGUGCUACCUGGCUACCACCAAUGACAACUCAAAGCCCAAGAUUUCUUCAGUCUGCUUGUGGUUAAGACUGCCAGGCCUCGGACUCUCCCUGUAGGGCAGUGAUCUCCCCUCUGGCCUUGGGCAAGUCCAGAAAUGCCAUCCAGGAGCCAAGUCCUGGAACUGGGGACUCUAAAAGCUCAUAUAUUACUCUACCCUACUGUUACUGAACUGGUACACAGGCUGCAAGAUGAAGUCCCCUUUACUUUUCCCUCUUCUUUUCUCAACAAGAAGAGUCUUCU